rnacentral:rRNA from 1 species
UGAGAGCGGCGCACGGGUGCGGAACACGUGUGCAACCUGCCUUUAUCUGGGGGAUAGCCUUUCGAAAGGAAGAUUAAUACCCCAUAAUAUAUUGAGUGGCAUCACUUGAUAUUGAAAACUCCGGUGGAUAGAGAUGGGCACGCGCAAGAUUAGAUAGUUGGUGAGGUAACGGCUCACCAAGUCAAUGAUCUUUAGGGGGCCUGAGAGGGUGAUCCCCCACACUGGUACUGAGACACGGACCAGACUCCUACGGGAGGCAGCAGUGAGGAAUAUUGGACAAUGGGUGAGAGCCUGAUCCAGCCAUCCCGCGUGAAGGACGACUGCCCUAUGGGUUGUAAACUUCUUUUAUACUGGGAUAAACCUACCCUCGUGAGGGUAGCUGAAGGUACAGUAUGAAUAAGCACCGGCUAACUCCGUGCCAGCAGCCGCGGUAAUACGGAGGGUGCAAGCGUUAUCCGGAUUUAUUGGGUUUAAAGGGUCCGUAGGCGGACUCGUAAGUCAGUGGUGAAAUCUCAUAGCUUAACUAUGAAACUGCCAUUGAUACUGCGGGUCUUGAGUAAAGUAGAAGUGGCUGGAAUAAGUAGUGUAGCGGUGAAAUGCAUAGAUAUUACUUAGAACACCAAUUGCGAAGGCAGGUCACUAUGUUUUAACUGACGCUGAUGGACGAAAGCGUGGGGAGCGAACAGGAUUAGAUACCCUGGUAGUCCACGCCGUAAACGAUGCUAACUCGUUUUUGGGUUUUCGGAUUCAGAGACUAAGCGAAAGUGAUAAGUUAGCCACCUGGGGAGUACGUUCGCAAGAAUGAAACUCAAAGGAAUUGACGGGGGCCCGCACAAGCGGUGGAUUAUGUGGUUUAAUUCGAUGAUACGCGAGGAACCUUACCAAGGCUUAAAUGGGAAUUGACAGGUUUAGAAAUAGAUCCUUCUUCGGACAAUUUUCAAGGUGCUGCAUGGUUGUCGUCAGCUCGUGCCGUGAGGUGUUAGGUUAAGUCCUGCAACGAGCGCAACCCCUGUCACUAGUUGCCAUCAUUCAGUUGGGGACUCUAGUGAGACUGCCUACGCAAGUAGAGAGGAAGGUGGGGAUGACGUCAAAUCAUCACGGCCCUUACGCCUUGGGCCACACACGUAAUACAAUGGCCGGUACAGAGGGCAGCUACUAUGCGAAUAGAUGCGAAUCUCGAAAGCCGGUCUCAGUUCGGAUUGGAGUCUG